rnacentral:rRNA from 1 species
UACGUAGGGUGCGAGCGUUAAUCGGAAUUACUGGGCGUAAAGCGUGCGCAGGCGGUUCGCUGUGUCCUGUGUGAAAGCCCCGGGCUUAACCUGGGAAUGGCAUGGGAAACUGGCGGGCUGGAGUGUGGCAGAGGGGGGUGGAAUUCCGCGUGUAGCAGUGAAAUGCGUAGAGAUGCGGAGGAACACCGGAUGGCGAAGGCAGCCCCCUGGGCUAACACUGACGCUCAGGCACGAAAGCGUGGGGAGCAAACAGG